rnacentral:sRNA from 1 species
CAAAGAGGAACUCAGUCUAAGACCAUCGCAUACUCAGGUAACGACUGAGUAAUCAACAUCGUGUUGG